CCCGUCUCUACUAAAAAUACAAAAAAUUAGCCGGGCGUGGUGGCCUGCGUCUGUGGUCCCAGCUACUUGGGAGGCUGAGGCAGCAGAAAGGCGUGAACCCAGGAGGCGGAGCUUGCAGUGAGCAGAGAUCACGCCAUUGCACUCCAACCCAGGAGGCGGAGCUUGCAGUGAGUGGAGAUCACGCCAUUGCACUCCAGCCUAGGAGCUCGCAGUGAGUGGAGAUCACGCCAUUGCACUCCAACCCAGGAGGCGGAACUUGCCGUGAGCGGAGAUCACGCCAUCGCACUCCAGCUUAGGAGCUCGCAGUGAGUGGAGAUCACGCCAUUGCACUCCAACCCAGGAGGCGGAACUUGCCGUGAGCGGAGAUGACGCCAUCGCACUCCAGCCUAGGAGCUCGCAGUGAGUGGAGAUCACGCCAUUGCACUCCAACCCAGGAGGCGGAACUUGCCGUGAGCGGAGAUCACGCCAUCGCACUCCAGCUUAGGAGCUCGCAGUGAGUGGAGAUCACGCCAUUGCACUCCAACCCAGGAGGCGGAACUUGCCAUGAGCGGAGAUGACGCCAUCGCACUCCAGCCUAGGAGCUCGCAGUGAGGAGGCUGUUGCUCACAGAGGACAGGUGACUCAGCCAGAGCCACAGAGUCAGGAUUUCAAUCCAGGGCUGCUGGAUUACAGAGCCCAGUCUCUGAAUCACCAGCCUUUCUGACUCCUGCAGAAGAGGGCUAUGUUUGUGUCCAUGCAUGUGCCUACGUAUCUUUGACUGAGAGAUGUGAAUGACAGUUUCCCUUCCCAGUUCCACAUACUCCAUGACUAGUUUCACUCUCAGAGGAGGAUUUUGUUCUUCAAUUGUGGAGUGAUCUCUAUCACCAGUGACUAAAGAUGUUGGAGCACAGAGAGCCAUACCCCAAAAUAUGAUGCUUCGGCAUGCUGACUGCUUUGAAAAUUGAAAGGCCUCAGAAAUAAUCCUCAGUGCCAGGGUCUCCCUCUGACCUCCCCCUACCUCCCUUUCUCUCUGAUCCUGUCUCUCCCAAAGCACAGAAUGAAGCUGUUCUCUGAAUUCCCUUAUCUACCUAGAAACUGGACCCCCAAAGAGGAACACAAUUUGCCUUUGAUCCCUUCCCUGAAAUUUCAUUAACCAGAGAAAAUUAAAACUUCUAUCACAAAGGAAGAGACUGAACAUUAAACACCAUAGCUACAGCCCAGACAAACUUCUUCCCAAACCAUUGUUUGUUCUCCUGCCUGUUAAAUUGCCAGAGAAUCAUUCACAAGAUAAAGUCUGCCUUCUGGGUCCAUUCAUUCCCCACUAAAAAUCUUUUACUCCUACACCCUCAUGUCUCCUUCCUCCAUGAAGAAGGGUCUAUAAACCUCUAGGCCUCAUUGGGUUAUUGGGUAAUCAUUCUCAUGCAGUUCCCCUGUGCUCUGCAUGUUAAAUAAAUUUGUAUGCCUUUUUCUCCUACCUGCCUUUUGUCAUUUUCAGUGAACCUUCAGAAGGUAAAGGCAGAAGCUUUCCUUCUUUGCCCCUAUAGUGUCAACAACAGCCAGCCAGGCAAAGGGUUUCAGAAACCCAAGUGGGAUUAAGAUGAUUAGCCACAUGGCUCUAUUCUACAAACUAGUGGUCAGAAUAACAAGCGUUUGCUUAUUAGGAGGUCGAGGUGGGAGAA
rnacentral:lncRNA from 10 species